UACGGGGGGAGCAAGCGUUGUUCGGAUUUACUGGGCGUAAAGGGCGCGUAGGCGGCCACCGCAAGUCGACUGUGAAAUCUCCGGGCUUAACCCGGAAAGGUCAGCCGAUACUGCGGGGCUAGAGUGCAGAAGGGGCAACUGGAAUUCUCGGUGUAGCGGUGAAAUGCGUAGAUAUCAAGAGGAACACCUGCGGCGAAGGCGGGUUGCUGGGCCGACACUGACGCUGAGGCGCGAAAGCCAGGGGAGCGAACGGG
rnacentral:rRNA from 1 species